AUUGAACGCUGGCGGCAGGCCUAACACAUGCAAGUCGAGCGAGCGGCGGACGGGUGAGUAAUGUAUGGGGACUGCCCGAUAGCGGGGUAUAACUACUGGAAACGGUGGAUAAUACCGCAUACUGUACGAUACCCCAUAUGGGACUAGCUAGUAGGUAAGGUAAUGGCGUACCUGGGGGAGGAUCCCUAGCUGGUCUGAGAGGAUGAUCAGCAACACUGGGACUGAGACACGGCCCAGACUCCUACGGAGGCAGCAGUGGGGAAUAUUGCACAAUGGGCGCAAGCCUGAUGCAGCCAUGCCGCGUGUAUGAAUAAGGCCCUAGGGUUGUAAAGUACUUUCAGUCGGGAGGCGUUACCGACAGAAGAAGCACCGGCUAACUCCGUGCCAGCAGCCGCGGUAAUUC
rnacentral:rRNA from 1 species